CAUUGUCGGUGGCAAAGGCCCAAACAGAGAAACAAAGAUUAAACUCUGAAAAAAGCUCAAACGAGAGAGAGAGAGAGAGAGAGAGAGAGAGAGAGAGAGAGAGAGAUAAAUACAGAACCUUGGAGCAGAUGGAAAGAUAAGACCCGUCAGUCUCACUAUCACCACUCCACCAACAACCGAUCAGUGAGAGUGGAAAUAUUACAUCAUCUUUUCAUGGAUGUAGUAAUUAUCAUAUCUUCUUGAGUUUCUGAGGCGAAGAUACUUGCAAGACUUUUACCGACCACCGCUCCAUAGCCUUGGUCAACGCCAUGUAAGCCGGUAAGCAAUCUAUAUUUAUGCGGCCAAGCCCUUACAGCCCGUGUGGAAGUGAACCUAUGCUUAUAUGUUAUUCCUAAUUUCUAUUGAGCUUAGUGCCGCUUAUUAUAGAUCUAUUUAUAAUUAGAAGAAAUUCAUGUUUAGAAGGAUCAGAAAAUUCCCAGAGUACUAAUUCAGAAUUUGGCUCUCUCUGUUUUGAUCAGUGGGUGAAGAAUCUUAAAGGCGUAGCUUUUGAUGGAGAAGAUGUUGGAUGAAACCAAUUGUGAAGUUCUUCGGCAUAAAGUAGAUUGGAGAACCAUAUAAAGAAAAACGUACUAAUCUUUCUUUCUGCCUCCGAUCCCACUUUGUUUCGUCAGAAAAUGGAACUUAGAAUGAAGUCUAUGAACGCAUCUUUGGUGAGUGAGGCAUCUUUCAUUGGACUAGUUGAUAAGAAAAAACACAAAGAUGCAACCCUUCAAGCAAUAGAGGACACAGAAAGCAACUCAUUCUUUGGUAAGGAUGAAUACAUCGUUGCAAGAAAGGAGCAAGUGUCAAGUAUAGUUGCAACCUUGAUUAUCUCCAACAGUCAAGAAAGUAUUUUGGUUAUUGUAGGAAUGGGUGGUGUAGGAAAGGAGUUUGUCUGUGGUGCGCCGGGUGUACCUGUACAGCCCAUCACGUGGCCUUUUUUUAAAAACAAUGAAAACUGGUUCUUUUGGUUAACCAGUUAAACUAAGGAAAAAAAAAACUCCCGCUCGUUCAAAACCUAGGCUGCACACAGAUCGAUUUCGUCUAUCUCCUCCUCCAUAGCUUUGCACAGCCACAGCUCUAUUUCGGUGAAUUUAUAGCUGCACAGCUUCCUACAGCCUGAAGAAGCUCCCCCCACUUCGUCUUCUCCAUCUGAGGAGCAGAUUUCAGCCAAAACCCAGAAACCCACUUCGUCUUCUCCAGCCGCUUCCUCCAUCACGGUAAGUUCGUGUGUUGAUUUUCGUUAUGUGUAAUUGAUGGUUCUAUUUAAUUUAUUCUUCUAGUGAUUUUGAAUUGUUGUUUCAGUUUUUUCAUUGAACAAUUCCAGAAAUUAAUGAUUCAAAUUUUGUAUUUCUUUUCCCACUCUGCAUUUCUGCUGGGUUGUUAUAGUGCCUCUUGAUCUGAUUGUAUAUAUAAAUACCCAUGAGGGCUCUGAUUGUGUAUGAUUUAAUUGUGGUGGGUUUGUGAUUCUGAAAGUGGC
rnacentral:lncRNA from 1 species